CCUACGGGUCGCAGCAGUGAGGAAUAUUGGUCAAUGGGCGCGAGCCUGAACCAGCCAAGUAGCGUGAAGGAUGACUGCCCUACGGGUUGUAAACUUCUUUUAUAAAGGAAUAAAAUGAAGCACGUUUGCCUUUUUGUAUGUACUUUAUGAAUAAGGAUAGGCUUACUCCGUGCCAGCAGCAGCGGUAAUAAGGAGGAUCCGAGCGUUAUCCGGAUUUAUUGGGUUUAAAGGACGCUUAGAUGGGUUGUUAGGUCAGUUGUGAAAGUUUGCAGCUCAACCGUAAGAUUGCAAUUGAUCCUGGCAGUCUUGAGUACAGUUGAGGUAGGCGGAAUUCGUGGUGUAGCGGUGAAAUGCUUAGAUAGCACGAAGAACUCCGAUUGCGAAGGCAGCUUACUAAACUGCCACUGACAUUGAUGCUCGAAAGUGUGGGUAUCAAACAGGAUUAGAUACCCGAGUAGUC
rnacentral:rRNA from 1 species